UGAACCUUAUCAUUUAGAGGAAGGAGAAGUCGUAACAAGGUUUCCGUAGGUGAACCUGCGGAAGGAUCAUUGUCGAAACCUUCGGCCAACAGAACGACCCGCGAAUCGGUUACGCGAAUACGAGGGGACUGCGGGGGGCCUCGGCCCCUCCUCUCCCCGAAACAACAAACCAAACACCGGCGCGAGUCGCGCCAAGGAAACCCAACCAGAAGAUCGCCGUCCCAGUCUCGAGAAGGGGGCUAGGAGGCGGCGGCCCUUCAUGUCGAACAAACGAAAACGACUCUCGGCAACGGAUAUCUCGGCUCUCGCAUCGAUGAAGAACGUAGCGAAAUGCGAUACUUGGUGUGAAUUGCAGAAUCCCGGGAACCAUCGAGUCUUUGAACGCAAGUUGCGCCCGAAGCCUUUAGGCCGGGGGCACGUCUGCCUGGGUGUCACGCACCGUCGCCCCAAACCCAACCAAGCCCCCCCCGGGGGGUUUGUCGGGGCGGAUGUUGGUCUCCCGCGAGCCACGGCUCGCGGUUGGCCCAAAUUUGCAGUCCGCAGCGGGCGGACGCCACGACGAUCGGUGGUUUUGGCCCUCGCACUCGGUCGUGCGCGAACUCCCGGAUACGGAUCCAAACGCGUCGCUCGCGAGCGCGACCCCAGGUCAGGCGGGACUACCCGCUGAG
rnacentral:rRNA from 1 species